UACAGAGGGGGCGGAGCGUUGUUCGGAAUUACUGGGCGUAAAGGGCGCGAGUAGGUCGGCCCGCUAAGUCGAACGUGAAAUCCCCAGGCUCAACCUGGGAACUGCGUCCGAUACUGGCAGGCUUGAAUCCGGGAGAGGGAUGUGGAAUUCCAGGUGUAGCGGUGAAAUGCGUAGAUAUCGGGAGGAACACCAGUGGCGAAGGCGACUACCUGGCCUGUUCUUGACGCUGAGGCGCGAAAGCUAGGGGAGCAAAC
rnacentral:rRNA from 1 species